AUUGAACGCUGGCGGCAGGCCUAACACAUGCAAGUCGAACGGUAACAGGAAACAGCUUGCUGUUUCGCUGACGAGUGGCGGACGGGUGAGUAAUGUCUGGGAAACUGCCUGAUGGAGGGGGAUAAAUACUGGAAACGGUAGCUAAUACCGCAUAACGUCGCGAGACCAAAGAGGGGGACCUUCGGGCCUCUUGCCAUCGGAUGGGCCCAGAUGGGAUUAGCUAGUAGGUGGGGUAACGGCUCACCUAGGCGACGAUCCCUAGCUGGUCUGAGAGGAUGACCAGCCACACUGGAACUGAGACACGGUCCAGACUCCUACGGGAGGCAGCAGUGGGGAAUAUUGCACAAUGGGCGCAAGCCUGAUGCAGCCAUGCCGCGUGUAUGAAGAAGGCCUUCGGGUUGUAAAGUACUUUCAGCGGGGAGGAAGGGAGUAAAGUUAAUACCUUUGCUCAUUGACGUUACCCGCACAAGAAGCACCGGCUAACUCCGUGCCAGCCGCCGCAGUAA
rnacentral:rRNA from 1 species